UCGGGAAUUUUGGGCAAUGGGCGAAAGCCUGACCCAGCAACGCCGCGUGAAGGAUGAAGUAUUUCGGUAUGUAAACUUCGUAAGAAUAGGAAGAAUAAAUGACGGUACUAUUUGUAAGGUCCGGCUAACUACGUGCCAGCAGCCGCGGUAAUACGUAGGGACCAAGCGUUGUUCGGAUUUACUGGGCGUAAAGGGCGCGUAGGCGGUGUGUCAAGUCAGUUGUGAAAUCUCCGAGCUUAACUCGGAACGGUCAACUGAUACUGUCACACUAGAGUGCAGAAGGGGCAAUCGGAAUUCUUGGUGUAGCGGUGAAAUGCGUAGAUAUCAAGAGGAACACCUGAGGUGAAGACGGGUUGCUGGGCUGACACUGACGCUGAGGCGCGAAAGCCAGGGGAGCAAACGGGAUUAGAUACCCCGGUAGUCCCUGAGCGGGCUGGCAAGGCGCAU
rnacentral:rRNA from 1 species